GCACGUUCUUGCGGGAACAUAGGAGCCAUCAGUGAGAUACCACUCUUCUAAUGUUAGAUUUCUAACCUUGUACCAUUAUCUGGUCAAGGAACAGUUUCAGGCGGGCAGUUUGACUGGGGCGGUCGCCUCCUAAAUGGUAACGGAGGCGUACAAAGGUUUCCUCUGAACGAAUAGAAAUCGUAUCUAGAGUAUAAAGGCAUAAGGAAGCUUGACUGUGAGACCUACAAGUCGAGCAGGGACGAAAGUCGGUCUUAGUGAUCUGACGGUACUGAGUGGAAAGGCCGUCACUCAACGGAUAAAAGUUACUCUAGGGAUAAC
rnacentral:rRNA from 1 species